AUUGAACGCUGGCGGAAUGCUUUACACAUGCAAGUCGAACGGCAGCACGGGGGCAACCCUGGUAGCGAGUGGCGAACGGGUGAGUAAUACAUCGGAACGUGCCCAGUCGUGGGGGAUAACGUAGCGAAAGUUACGCUAAUACCGCAUACGAUCUACGAAUGAAAGCGGGGGACCGUAAGGCCUCGCGCGAUUGGAGCGGCCGAUGUCAGAUUAGGUAGUUGGUGAGGUAAAGGCUCACCAAGCCGACGAUCUGUAGCUGGUCUGAGAGGACGACCAGCCACACUGGGACUGAGACACGGCCCAGACUCCUACGGGAGGCAGCAGUGGGGAAUUUUGGACAAUGGGCGCAAGCCUGAUCCAGCCAUUCCGCGUGCAGGACGAAGGCCUUCGGGUUGUAAACUGCUUUUGUACGGAGCGAAAAGGCUCUGGUUAAUACCUGGGGCUCAUGACAGUACCGUAAGAAUAAGCACCGGCUAACUACGUGCCAGCCGCCGCAGUAA
rnacentral:rRNA from 1 species